UUAUAUAACAGGAUGGAUGGUGUAUUAUGGUCUCAUGUUAUUGUGUUAUAUAACAGGAUGGUGUAUUAUGGUCUCAUGUUAUUGUGUUAUAUAACAGGAUGGAUGUUAUUAUGGUCUCAUGUUAUUGUUAUAUACAGGAUGGUGUUUAUGGUCUC